CCCGCCGGCGACCGGCGCACGGGUGAGUAACACGUAUGAAACCUGCCCGUAGCAGGGGGAUAAGCGGAAGAAAUUCCGUCUAAUACCGCGUAACAACCCGAGGAGGCAUCUCCUCGGGUUUAAAGGAAGCGAUUCCGGCUACGGAUGGUCAUGCGUCGCAUUAGCUAGUUGGCGGGGUAACGGCCCACCAAGGCGACGAUGCGUAGGGGUUCUGAGAGGAAGGCCCCCCACACUGGAACUGAGACACGGACCAGACUCCUACGGGAGGCAGCAG
rnacentral:rRNA from 1 species